rnacentral:rRNA from 1 species
UAGUUUGAUCAUGGCUCAGAAGUCGUAACAAGGUAGCCGUAAGUCGCAACAAGGUAACCGUAGAGUUUGAUCCUGGCUCAGAAGUCGUAACAAGGUAACCGUAAGUCGUAACAAGGUAGCCGUAGGUCGUAACAGGGUAAGCGUAAGUCGUAACAAGGUAGCCGUAGAGUUUGAUCCUGGCUCAGGAAAGUCGUAACAAGGUAGCUGUAAGUCGUAACAAGGUAGCCGUAA